rnacentral:rRNA from 1 species
AGUGAACGCUGGCGGCAGGCCUAAUACAUGCAAGUCGAACGGCAGCACAGCAGAGCUUGCUCUGUGGGUGGCGAGUGGCGGACGGGUGAGGAAUACGUGGGAAUCUGCCCAGUCGUGGGGAUAACGUAGGGAAACUUACGCUAAUACCGCAUGCGCCCUUCGGGGAAAGCCGGGGACCUUCGGGCCUGGCGCGAUUGGAUGAGCCCACGUCGGAUUAGCUAGUUGGCGGGGUAAAGGCCCACCAAGGCGACGAUCCGUAGCUGGUCUGAGAGGAUGAUCAGCCACACUGGAACUGAGACACGGUCCAGACUCCUACGGGAGGCAGCAGUAGGGAAUAUUGGACAAUGGGCGCAAGCCUGAUCCAGCCAUGCCGCGUGAGUGAAGAAGGCCCUCGGGUUGUAAAGCUCUUUUGUCCGGAAAGAAAAGCGCCGGGUUAAUACCCUGGUGUCCUGACGGUACCGGAGAAUAAGCACCGGCUAACUUCGUGCCAGCAGCCGCGGUAAU